AUUGAACGCUGGCGGCAGGCUUAACACAUGCAAGUCGAGCGGAGAUGAGGUGCUUGCACCUUAUCUUAGCGGCGGACGGGUGAGUAAUGCUUAGGAAUCUGCCUAUUAGUGGGGGAUAACAUUCCGAAAGGAAUGCUAAUACCGCAUACAUCCUACGGGAGAAAGCAGGGGAUCUUCGGACCUUGCGCUAAUAGAUGAGCCUAAGUCGGAUUAGCUAGUUGGUGGGGUAAAGGCCUACCAAGGCGACGAUCUGUAGCGGGUCUGAGAGGAUGAUCCGCCACACUGGGACUGAGACACGGCCCAGACUCCUACGGGAGGCAGCAGUGGGGAAUAUUGGACAAUGGGGGGAACCCUGAUCCAGCCAUGCCGCGUGUGUGAAGAAGGCCUUAUGGUUGUAAAGCACUUUAAGCGAGGAGGAGGCUACUGAGACUAAUACUCUUGGAUAGUGGACGUUACUCGCAGAAUAAGCACCGGCUAACUCUGUGCCAGCCGCCGCCGUAAUAC
rnacentral:rRNA from 1 species